rnacentral:rRNA from 1 species
UACGGAGGGUGCGAGCGUUGUCCGGAAUCACUGGGCGUAAAGGCGCGUAGGCGGCCCGGUAAGCGUGCGGUGAAAGUCCGGGGCUCAACCCCGGAUCGGCCGUGCGGACUGUCGGGCUCGAGCAGCUGUAGGGGCGGGUGGAACUCCGGGUGUAGCGGUGGAAUGCGUAGAGAUCCGGAAGAACACCGGUGGCGAAGGCGGCCCGCUGGGCAGUGGCUGACGCUGAGGCGCGACAGCGUGGGGGAGCAAACAGG